GUUCUAGUUCGGAUAAAAACUUGUUAGAUUUAUAUAUACAAACCAGACACAAAACUAAUGCGGUGCCCGCCUACAACUAAAACUUCCGGCGUUUUCGCCUACAAGUAAAGUUAUAUUUAGUAUGCUACAUUUUCCUGCCGGCCGCCAGUUGGUCCAUACACAUUAGGAUCAAAACUGCGCUUUAAAACCUUCAAAAUAUAAUAUUUUGGGUUCAAAAUACUAUCAAAAUGAAGAGAAAAGUGAGAUGAAUAUACUGGUAUGUGACCGAAAAUAGAAAACCAACGAUACCAAAGUUAUCAACUAUCAAGGGUCAAACGUACUGCAUUUUUAGUUAGUUUAAUAAUUUUGAGCGAUUUGUCAACAAUACCGCCCCCUAUUUCGCUGAUUAAAACUGCACUUUAAAACCGUCAAAAUAAAAUAGUUUGGGCUCAAAAUACUAUCAAAAUGAAGGGAAAAUGAGAUGAAUCCACUGGUAUACGGCCGAAAACGAGAAAACCAACGAUACGAAAGUUAUCAAGAAUCGAAC